AUGUCCAUUGAGCAGCAAGUAGCAUUGUUUUUGCACACUGUUGGUCACAACGUUCGGAAUAGAGUAAUUGGUGGGAAUUUCGGUAGAUCUGGUGAAGUUGUUAGCCGCUAUUUUAAAAAACUACUCCAUGCAAUUGGUGAGCUUCGAGAUGAACUUAUUAGGAAGCCUUCAUUGGGGACCCAAAAGAAAAUAGAAGGAAACCAUCGGUGGGAUCCAUACUUUAAGGAUUGUAUUAGAGCUAUUGAUGGUACACAUGUACGUGCCUCUGUUACACCUGAUAUGGAGGCUGCCUUUCGUGGUAGAAAGAAAUAUACUACUCAAAAUGUGAUGGCGGCUGUUGAUUUUGAUCUUCGAUUCACAUAUGUGUUGGCCGGUUGGGAGGGUACAGCACAUGAUGCUGUAGUUUUACACGAUGCUUUAGGACGUGAAAAUGGUCUACGUGUCCCACAAGGAAAAUUUUAUCUAGUUGAUGCCGGAUAUGGAGCCAAACCAGGCUUCUUGCCUCCUUUUCGUGGCGUGAGGUACCAUUUAAAUGAGUGGGGAAACAAUCCUGUGCAAAAUGAAAAGGAGCUGUUCAACCUUAGGCAUUCUUCUCUUCGCACAACUGUAGAACGGGCAUUUGGGUCAUUGAAGAGAAGAUUCAAAAUCCUUGAUGAUGCCACACCAUUCUUUCUUUAUCCUACUCAAGUAGACAUUGUUGUGGCUUGUUGCAUUAUUCAGAAUUGGGUUUUAAAUGAUGGCAUUGAUGAAUAUAUCAUACCCGAGGAUGAAUGGGUGGCCAAUAUCACUCAUGCUUCAUCAUCAACUGGCCAAGCACAAGAACAUGCAUACAUGGCUAAUUUUAGGCAAGGACUUACUGAUCAAAUGCAAAUCUCAUGGACACCUACCAUGUCAUCGUACAUGCUAGCCCAUCUAUGUGGUUUGGUGACUGGUGGCCAUAGACCAGGUACCUCCUUCAAGAAUGUCCACUGGAAUGGUUGUGCCGCUGCUAUGAAUGAACAUUUUCAGCGCACCAAUUUGAUUGGAACUCACAUCACAAAUCACACAAGGACGUGGAAAAGGAAGUAUAAGCAGAUAGUGCACCUCAAAUCAUUGAGUGGUGCACUUUGGGAUGAAGAUAACUUUCUUGAUCAUGAGCAUUACACAAACCAUAUUAAGGACCACAAAGAAGAUGAACCCUUCCUGAACAAGCCUAUUAAACAUUAUGAGGAGAUGCUGGUUAUUGUUGGAGCAGGCAUGGCUACGGGGCAAUAUGCAAAAGGCUCAAGUGACCCUUUAGUGACGGAGGUGAUUGAUCUUGAAGAACAGAAAACCAACAAAGCCGCUGCCUCGAAUGAAGAGGUUGCCCAAUCACACACUUGUGAUGAGUCAGCCGCUCCCAAGUUGAAGAAAGCCAAAACUAAUCCUUCUGCAGAAGAUAGGAUGGUUGCAACCAUAAUGGCUUCAAGUGAAAGGAUUGCUGUUGCCAUUGAGAAACUUGCUAGCGACGUCAACCCCGCCAUUGAUGGUCUUUGGGAUGAGAUGAAAGAACUCCCUGGCUUUGAUGUGGAUUCCCUUGCUCAUUACUAUGCCUAUUUGGUUGACAAUCCUCGUGUUGCAAUGGCAUUCAAGGUCCUGGGGGGUGUUCAAAGAAAGGUUUGGGUCUCUAGGUAUGUGUAG
rnacentral:rRNA from 1 species